UGUGUCAUUUUUAAAAAAAAUAUACUUUUUGCUGCUACCUUGACUCCAUGAGAGGCGUCUACUUUGUGCCCACACAUACCUGUCCCUGGCUCCUGUGAUCCAUCCUUCCCUGCAGUUAGAUGCACUCUCCACUUCUUUGCUGGCAAAAGGAGGUUGAUGCUGAGGGAUCCCUUCAGUCUCCUUUCCGCUGCCGUUAACCUUGACUCCAUGAGAGGCAUCUACUUUGUGCCCACACAUACCUGUCCCUGGCUCCUGUGAUCCAUCCUUCCCUGCAGUUAGAUGCACUCUCCACUUCUUUGCUGGCAAAAGGAGGUUGAUGCUGAGGGAUCCCUUCAGUCUCCUUUCCGCUGCCGUUAACCUUGACUCCAUGAGAGGCAUCUACUUUGUGCCCACACAUACCUGUCCCUGGCUCCUGUGAUCCAUCCUUCCCUGCAGUUAGAUGCACUCUCCACUUCUUUGCUGGCAAAAGGAGGUUGAUGCUGAGGGAUCCCUUCAGUCUCCUUUCCGCUGCCGUUAACCUUGACUCCAUGAGAGGCAUCUACUUUGUGCCCACACAUACCUGUCCCUGGCUCCUGUGAUCCAUCCUUCCCUGCAGUUAGAUGCACUCUCCACUUCUUUGCUGGCAAAAGGAGGUUGAUGCUGAGGGAUCCCUUCAGUCUCCUUUCCGCUGCCGUUAACCUUGACUCCAUGAGAGGCAUCUACUUUGUGCCCACACAUACCUGUCCCUGGCUCCUGUGAUCCAUCCUUCCCUGCAGUUAGAUGCACUCUCCACUUCUUUGCUGGCAAAAGGAGGUUGAUGCUGAGGGAUCCCUUCAGUCUCCUUUCCGCUGCCGUUAACCUUGACUCCAUGAGAGGCAUCUACUUUGUGCCCACACAUACCUGUCCCUGGCUCCUGUGAUCCAUCCUUCCCUGCAGUUAGAUGCACUCUCCACUUCUUUGCUGGCAAAAGGAGGUUGAUGCUGAGGGAUCCCUUCAGUCUCCUUUCCGCUGCCGUUAACCUUGACUCCAUGAGAGGCAUCUACUUUGUGCCCACACAUACCUGUCCCUGGCUCCUGUGAUCCAUCCUUCCCUGCAGUUAGAUGCACUCUCCACUUCUUUGCUGGCAAAAGGAGGUUGAUGCUGAGGGAUCCCUUCAGUCUCCU